CUCAAACAUUAUUUUUCACUUGUUUGAAAAAUAUUAUAGCUAAAAUCAUGGUUUGAUAUCCAAAAAUUGGUUUGAUUUGGUUUAGUUCGAAUUUUAUUUUUUUCAAAUCAUUUAUAAUUUUGAAAAAUAUAUAUAUAGUUUUCUCAUUUUUUUGAGUUUCCUCGUUCAUCUUCUCCAUCCUUUUGUCAACCAUUGAUGUUAGAUAGCAUUAUUCUUUUUCAUAUAAAUUUAUAACCUAAAACAAACAAAAUAAACACAAAAUAAUAAGAAUCAAUCUCACAAACUUGACAGUUAUGUAAAUUCAAGACCCAGAAUAAGUGUAAAAAUAUAUACUUACAAAGACCUUUUUAAAUAAAUUGAGUAUAGGUCGAUUUGAGGAUUAGGCUUGAGAUUCCAACAAGGUAAAGUACUUUGGUAGCUUGUAAGACGCUUGGGUGGCUGAAUAGCUUUGUGGAUUUUAAGAGAUUAUUUUUCUCUAUCUCCAAAAUAUAUGGAUUAAUACAAUAUGGAUUUCUUGCUAAAAAUUGGAAGAAUCGGGUUUCGAUCUGGUUGACGGUUAACACUCGGUGGUUGGCUUAGGAUGAGGAAAUACAUGGUUAUUUGGAAUUAAAAAUAAAGGUAACUCUUGGUUAUUUUGAUGUAUAUAUCUUGUUCUCUUUGUCUCUGUAAUUGAUUUUCUUUUAUGUUCUACCAAUUUUUACCCCCUGAAGUUGUCUUUUGUCAUAUGUACGUAUAAGUGUACGCAGUUUGCCGUUGCUUAUGUAAAUAAUAAAUCAUAGUUUUUAAAGAUGUCAGAGGGUGUAUUCAAUUGAGACUUUUAAUGACUUUUUGAUAUUUAAAAAGUUCAGGGGUGUCCAAUUGAGAUUUUUUGAAACUCUCUAAAAGUCACAAUGUAUUCAAUUGAGACUUCUAGAAACUUUAAAAAGUCUCUAAAAGUUACGGUGUAUUUAAUUAAAAAUUUUUAGAAAUCUCUACAAGUCUUUAAGCAAAAAGUACUCAUAAAAUUUUAAAAUUUGUCUCUCAUUAAUCACGAGAUUUUGGGAAACUUUCACAAAAAAUUAAAAAAAAAAUCGAAUUUUCUUUCUUUUAACAUUCUGUGGACAAGUAUGAUUAAAAUUUAUUUUUUAUUGAUUAUAUUUCAUUUAUCUUUUUUUAUCUCUCUCUUAUUAUUUAUCUCUAUUUUCUGUGAAAAAUUUUGGAUUCUUGUAACUUUUUUUUUCUUUUUUCAAUCAUUUUUUUUUUGAAAAAAAUAUCUAUUUUUUAAUUAAAUUAUAAAUUAUAAAAGUUUAUAUGAAAAAUUUAUAAUUAAAUUUAAAUAUAUUGAUUUUUAUUUAUUUUUAAAAGUUACUAUACUAAUAAUAUUGAAUCGUGUGUGAGAGUGAGAGUGUGAGUGUGAGUGUGAGUGUGAGUGUGUGUAUGUAUGUGUAUAAUUUUUUUUUAUUAUAUGGGAUGUGUAUGUAUGUGUAUAAUUUUUUUUUAUUAUAUGGGAAGAAGAAUGGGAAUUGUGGGAACUAACAUCCCAUAUGUGAGAAUUUCACACCAAGUCUACGUGAAUUCUAUUUCAAAGAAAGUUUUCAAAAGUCUUUUGAAUUCCCCGAAAGUCUAUAAAAGUUUUAAAAUGAAAAUCCAUAGAAGUCUAUGAAAGACUUUUACUAAUUCCAUACAAAUCUAUAAAAGAUCCAUGAAAUCCACAAAAGUCAUUACUUAAAAAAAGUCUAUCAAAGUCUUCAAAAAUCCCAAUUGAAUACACCGUGUAUUCUAUAAAAUACAAGGAUAGACGAUUUUACCUGCCUCUUUUUUGGAUGAUAAGAACGGGGAAUCAUAUUAGAAUUUCAUUGCAAUCCAGGCCACCAUCCAUCUUCCUUUUAACCACCAAUAUUUGGUUCAAAUUAAAUCUUUCUUCCGAGGUAUCUUUUAUGUACUUGGUUUUUUCUUCAUGAUAUGUUCCCUUCCCUUGGAGAGUAGUUCAAAAAUUUAUUCCAAGAUGUGUAUUCUGUGGCUGGAGAUAUGUCACAGAGUAUUGGCAAUUAUUGACGGACGAAUAUAUUAAGAGUGGUGAGCAAUUGGGACAUGUUAUUUUACUGGAUAAUUGAAACCAUUUAUUUCAGGGCUUUGAACGACUGAAUAAUGUGACUUGCCACAUCGAUGUGUGCAUAUGUCAUUUUUCCAAGCAAGCAAGAUUAUAUACACAUUUGCCAAAUUUUGUUUGUAAGACUGUAUUUCUAAGGCAUUGGAUAUGAGUCUUGACUGAGUGUAAGUGCAGGGGCAGCUGUGAUGAUAGAGGAAAUGUGAACUCGAUUUAGUUCACGAGGCACUGUUAGAACAAUGACCCACUUCUUAGAAUCUGGCUAGUAGAGCCCAGUCUUCAGAGAAAUAUGGAUUGUUGGUUUUUGGAUGAUCUGAUCCUCUUUGUCCAGCUGUCUUUCCCUCUGAAGUUGGUGUACUUCGAAAAUUACAUAAUUCUUUGUGGUUCUUGUCAUCUGUGGUUUGCUUUUGAAUUUUAAAUGUCACAUAUAUGUGUAGGUCACUGAUGUCUCUGUCUACAGAACUAGAUAUUUUACACUUAUCACAAAUUUGGUCGACAGGAAUGAAUAGUAAUGAACACUAUGAAGAAGAUAAAGAAGUUAAAAUCUUGUACAUUGAACUCUUGUCCAUAAUUGCAUAACAAACAUGAAUUAUCGUGUAACUCUGGACUUGUGACUACUGUAACGAGGAUGUUAUUUGAGUUGAAGAGCAAGGAAAUGAAUUGGUUCUCUGUCGAUUGAUUUAACAUUGAAUUUAUAGCACCUAUAUUUUAUUUUGUAAAAAUUGUCUUGACACCUUGUCUUUCUCAUCAGAGAACCAAGAGGUCAUACUGGAACAACAAGAUCCCUCAAUAGAGUUGUUGCAAGUUUUUAACUCUUGCAUUUUGACCCUCUAUAGCUUUUCGAUCUGUGAUUCUCUUACGUUCAUGCAUGUAUUGUACCAUUUGAAGGAGUUGCUGGGAGAAUACAGUCUUUCUAAAACCAUUGAUCCUGAAAUCAGUUAUUCUUGAUAUUAAAUGUAAUAAUUGACUUAUUUUCCCUAACUGACCAGGGAACUACAUAUACUCAAUCUGCGAAGAGCAAAUCAAAGAAGAAAAAGUGGAAAAAUAGCAUGUUCGGAUGGUUAACCCUACGAGCAGUAAAACAAGGUAACAGUCCUUGUAACAUAACUUAAGGAUCCAUAUUUGCGGAAGCUAGGAAGGUGAAGUAAUUUCCAAAAAAGAACUGUCUUCAAAGGGCCUACCUCGCUUGUAGCACGAGGGAGAAACUUCACGUAUAUUUUUUUGGGUGACAGUUUUGAGAGUUGAGCAAUUUAAAUGCCUGAUUAACUGAAAGUUAACUUCCAAAACUCAAGUUUUCGUUGGGAAAUAGGAGAUUUUUGUUAAAUUAUAUGCUUAUCAUGUCAAUUGAGUUAAUUAUUCUCAGUUUACUUUUGGAUAAUGUGAGAUAAGAACUUCAAUGAGGUUUUGUGAAAUUUCUUAUAGAUAAGGGCUAUCAGGUUGCUUCUGGAAUUGCAUCACUAGAUUUUACUAGGAAAAUGUACUAUCGGGUCCGAAGUAAUUGUCUAAAUAGCAAGUUAGGUUGACUUUUAAAAAGGAUCGAGUGUAUUCUUAACCUUUUAAUAUAGUUGCAUAUCUAGUCUUGAAUGCAUUCACAACGGCCAAAUCUCUUUAAAUUGUAAUGUGGCUAUCAUGAAAAUAUGAGUCACUUGAAGUUUAUAUGCACCUGCUUGAGUUAAGAAGCUAGUUUCUGCUUCAUACAAUUGGACAUCAGAGGACCAAGUGAUGACAAACAAAGAUUUAAAUGAUUUUGUCAUUGGGAUUUGGGAUGUUCACUUAAUGCAGUGAUUUGUAAUGAAAGUUGGGAACGAAAUUUGGGGUUCUUGAACGCCGUUCAAGGUAUAUUUUCGUGUUUUUACGUCCAUGUUGCACACAUGAAUUGCUAGAGCUCUACUCUUGCGGUAAUAAAUGUUAC
rnacentral:lncRNA from 1 species